AUGGCAUCCUCAAGCUCCAUUGUCGCCGCGCCUGCCCUCAUCCCCAUAGCCGUCCGACUCCAUCGCUCCAACUUCCUGGUAUGGCGCGCGCAAGCCAUGGCAGCUAUCCGUGGGGCGCAGCUCGUCUCCUACCUUGAUCCAGAUCGGGAGCAGCCGGAGCAGAAGCUUCGCGACAAGGACGGCAAGCCCACGGACGUGCCCAACCCUGCAUACGACAUCGACAAGGCUCGAGAUUCUCAGGUGCUGAGUUUCAUCUUCAACUCCAUCUCAGCUCCUAUUAUGGUUCAGGUCGCACACUGCGAUACAACGGCCAAAGCAUGGGCCGCCAUCAGGGAGAUCUUCAUCUCCCAAACUCAGGCGCACGUCGUCAACACCAGAAUCGCCCUCUCCACCACCAAGAAGGGCAACUCGACGAUGUCCGAAUACAUUGGGCGCAUGAAGGCGCUCGGUGAUGAGAUGGCAUCGGUGGGCAAGCCGCUCACCGACGAUGACAUGGUGUCCUACAUCCUGGCGGGACUCAACUACGACUACGUGUCCUUCGUCUCCACGAUCUGCGCUCGCACCCAGCAAAUCAAGGUGAGCGAGCUUUACUCGCAGCUGAUCAGCUUUGAAAGCAGGUUGGCCAUGUUUUAA
rnacentral:rRNA from 1 species